rnacentral:lncRNA from 1 species
UGGGAGACCAUGGAGCUGUUGGUCAGAAAAGCCACCCUCUGUUUCCCCUCCCCCAUGAGCUGUAGGGGCUUCCCACCCCACUAGGACAAGGCUUGGUCAUGUGACUUGUUUUAGCCAAAGGGAUGUUCACUGUAGGCAAAAGCUUCCUGUAUUUCUGCCUGUCAAGAAGGCUCCUUCACCCCCUCACCCCAAAGCUGCUGUUCCCCUAGCAGGGCUCCCAGUAGACACAGCUCCACCCACAAUUUGGAGCCAAGUCCAGCUGGGCGUACAGCUUCCACAGCCCCAGUUGGCUGCCUACACCCUCCACAAGUCCACAGUCCUGAGAGGGAAUGAUCAUGUGUUAAGCCCCUGAUUCUAGCCUGGGAGCGCGAGUUUCCAGCUCACCUCUGAUCCCAUUCUCAUGGGUACCGGCCACAUACCCAAGGUCUCAGUAAUCCUGGAAUAUUCUUUUGAUUGCCAUGUAUCUUGAGCAUUUGGAUUUGCUUUUUCCAGCUACUUUGAGAAGUGACUUUCAGAGCAGGGAGAGUGGCAAGGCUGGAAAGUCUGGCUCCCGGCUACACGAUCCAUCUACAGCACUGUCAGAUCCCUCAGCAGCAGGGUCUGAGUCACCAGGCAAGCAGAGCUCAGCAGAUGCAAAAUGAACAUAGCCCACUGCCCCUUUCCUGCAGUAUCGGAUGACAGCAGAGACAUCAAGAAGGGCACAAUGCUUAGUGACCUCACGCAGACCCAAGUACUUGGGGGACAAGACCAGAGGGAAGCAGGUCCACUCAGCUUCCACAGGACCCCCGAUCCUGCCUUGUGCAUCAUCCCCACAAACAGUCUGGCAGGCAUGACUGAAAUUCUGGAUCUGGGGGAGCUGCAAGAACUCAGCAACCCCAAGGGCAGAGGAGCAAUCACUGUUGUGCUACCACGUGGCAGACACCUCUCUUUCUCUCUCAAUUGGCCAGCACUGCCUACUCACUAAAGUCUCCGAGUUGAACAAGACAAAGUUCCUACCCUCACACAGCGUGUGACUGAGUGGACCAGCACCUACUAAACCUCUGAACUGUAAUCAUGUCUAGACACAUCGGUGUGUAUAUUGGCCACAUGAUACAGGGUAAGUGCUAGGAAGAAAAUUAAGCAGGAAAAAGGGCACAGAGUGAAGGGGACAGAAGGGUGAUUUAGAUGGAAAGUUCCGGAGGGGACAAGGACAUUGAAGGGGGAGACCCCAGGGAGAUGGGGAGCAGGUCGCUA